rnacentral:rRNA from 1 species
UGGGGAAUAUUGGACAAUGGGGGCAACCCUGAUCCAGCAAUGCCGCGUGUGUGAAGAAGGUCUUCGGAUUGUAAAGCACUUUCGACGGGGACGAUGAUGACGGUACCCGUAGAAGAAGCCCCGGCUAACUUCGUGCCAGCAGCCGCGGUAAUACGAAGGGGGCUAGCGUUGCUCGGAAUGACUGGGCGUAAAGGGCGUGUAGGCGGUUUACACAGUCAGAUGUGAAAUCCCCGGGCUUAACCUGGGAGCUGCAUUUGAUACGUGUAGACUAGAGUGUGAGAGAGGGUUGUGGAAUUCCCAGUGUAGAGGUGAAAUUCGUAGAUAUUGGGAAGAACACCGGUGGCGAAGGCGGCAACCUGGCUCAUGACUGACGCUGAGGCGCGAAAGCGUGGGGAGCAAACAGGUUAGAUACCCUGGUAGUCCACGCUGUAAACGAUGUGUGCUAGAUGUUGGGUAACUUUGUUAUUCAGUGUCGC